rnacentral:SRP_RNA from 16 species
GCUGGUAGGCCCGGCAGCAGCACUGGCUUGCUGCGUUGGCCUUGCCCCUCCGGAGCCAGUAGUUGGCCCAGUUGUUGUUCAGGAUGCAGGACAGAAGGUUGCGGUCGGACCGCGUGAGGCUGGGGCCGCGCUCACCAAUUUCCUUCUUCGCGAGGGCGAAGAGCGCACAGGCCUGAUUGAGCUCACC